rnacentral:rRNA from 1 species
AGCGAACGUUAGCGGCGGGCCUAACACAUGCAAGUCGAACGCGAAAGGUCUUCGGACUGAGUAGAGUGGCGCACGGGUGAGUAACACGUAGGUAAUCUACCCUUUGGCGGGGGAUAACGUUCCGAAAGGAGCGCUAAUACCGCAUAAGACCACGGAGUCUCCGGACGCUGUGGGAAAAGGUGGCCUCUUCUUGAAAGCUACCACCGAAGGAUGAGCCUGCGUCCCAUCAGCUAGUUGGUAAGGUAAUGGCUUACCAAGGCGAAGACGGGUAGCUGGUUUGAGAGAAUGAUCAGCCACACUGGCACUGGAACACGGGCCAGACUCCUACGGGAGGCAGCAGUGAGGAAUAUGGGCAAUGGGCGAAAGCCUGACCCAGCCACGCCGCGUGAGUGAUGAAGGCCCUCGGGUCGUAAAGCUCUGUGGAGAGGGACGAAAACCCUGGUUUCAAAUAGGCUCCAGGCUUGACGGUACCUCUUUAGCAAGCACCGGCUAACUCUGUGCCAGCA